AAGUCGAAAAAUACGAACAAUUGUUUAAAACUCAAAGAAUUUGGCGGUGUCUUAUCAAAUCAGGGGAACCUGUCUCAUAACUCGAUAAUCCACGAAAUCCUUACCCCCUAAAGAAUAAUCAGCAUGUGUACUGCCGUCGUAAGCACACCUCUGAAAGUACUGAGUGUGCAAUUAAUGAUUGAACCUCAUAUACGUCAGGUCAAAGUGCAGCUAAUAAGAGGGAAGAUGAUGGGUUACAUUCAUAAUAAUGAUACGAAAUAGAACCCAAAUAAGGCCUACGAAGGUGGACUUGAAAGUAAUUUAGAUACAUAUCAUAAUGAAUUAGAAUCUAAGACAUGCACACAUCGCCCGUCACUCUCGCCAAAAGGUG
rnacentral:rRNA from 1 species